rnacentral:rRNA from 1 species
UACGUAGGGUGCGAGCGUUAAUCGGAAUUACUGGGCGUAAAGCGUGCGCAGGCGGUCUGUUAAGACCGAUGUGAAAUCCCCGGGCUUAACCUGGGAACUGCAUUGGUGACUGGCAGGCUAGAGUAUGGCAGAGGGGGGUAGAAUUCCACGUGUAGCAGUGAAAUGCGUAGAUAUGCGGAGGAACACCGAUGGCGAAGGCAAUCCCCUGGGCCUGCACUGACGCUCAUGCACGAAAGCGUGGGGAGCAAACAGG